CUUCUAGCAGCUUCUGAAAGAAGCCACCCCUGUAACCCCCCUGCUACCGAAACCUUUCCACGCAAACCCAAUACACCUAGUUAAGCAGCAUUUUGGUAGAAGACAAUAUUAGUGUUGGCCUCUUCUCUUUAAUUUAUUUAUUCUUGUUUUACCAAGAGACUACACAUCAGAGAGGUUCCCUCCAUGCGCCAUCUGUUUCCUUGCAAUUGAGAAUGGUAGAAUAAUUUUCUGAAGAAUUGCUGACAAGAUGUGGCAAGGGAACAGUAAUCCAUAAGGACGUGAUUUCUCAUUAAAGUCACUCAGCUCAUCUGUGAUACAGCAAGCUCUUGAUUUACACUGGUCACCUCUGGAGCAGGGAGGACAGUGACUGAUUAUCCAAGAAAAAUGUGAAAAUGCAGCUGGAGACUACAAGAAAAUCAAGAUCACAGCACAAGGCAAUGAAAAGGCUGAGAAGAGCAGCUGGUGAUUUCUUUUCAUCUCUGUACCUGGGUGCCUCAUCAUGACAGGAUCCUUAUCUACACAGAAAGAGGAGAAGCUACCGCUGUUACAAAUGUGCUCAUUAAAUCAGGCUGAUGCUUUCAUUCAAAAAAUAUUUGCAUGUGUUUGGAUGUUUUUCUUGAUGUAUUUUUGCUAUCUGUGUAGUGGAUGCAUGCACACAAAUACAUGCAAAGCUUGAAUGCACUUAGGGAAAGCCCCCAAAAUGCAAACCUUACAGUUUUUGAAGCUAGAUGGUAGUCUCAUAUUUGACAGUGAGUAUUUAGAUGUAUACUGAAAAGGAACACAUUCACAUGCCUUUCAUCUUAAUAAACAUGGUCCUUUCUAUCCUGUGUUUUGUGAUGACUAGCAAAUGAUAAGGGAAUCAAGACAAAUGUCUGCGUUCUGAGAACGUGCUGAAUAACUAAUGCAAGAAAAAGCAGUUUUGAAAAGAGAUUUGCAACUGAAAGGUCACAUGGCAGUAUGGCAACUUGUUUAAUGUACCAAGAAUAAGAUAAUUUAACGUGCUUCUCAAGGAUUCUGAAAAAAGGCCUGGUGUUCCUCUGUGCCUGGUGUUAUGGCAUUGUAUUUGGAAGCCUUUUAAAACACACAAAGACCUAGCAUUAUUUAAGUAAAACUGCCCCAUCCUGAUGUUCACCUCUAAGACCACUUA